GACAGAGAGAAGAUAGCCAACUGUUGAAGAUUUUCUGAGGAACUGAAGCAGUGCUUGGGAAGCAAGCUAUGCCUCCGAAAAUCAGCUGGACGGUGGGAGGGAUCAAGAAUGACUGCCGUCACCAUGGAAACUCCUUGAUGGCGAGAUUGCUUUGAGAACCAGGAGGGGAUGAGAUAAGCACCAGAGGAACACUGGGCAGUCAGGGCCCAGCAUCCACCAACCCUUUCUUCCAGAUAACUCCUUUGUUCUCUGGGCUGGUCUCCCUCUUGCUCCUAUAGGGGCCCUUUCUGACUCUUCACCUGUUUUGAUUCUUCAGUGGUGCCCUUCCCGGGUCUGGGAGGGAAGGGCCCGAGGCCCACUCAGGGCUGCCCCAGGAUGGCCACUUCUCACUGCAGCCCAGACACCCUGGUCUAUAAGACACACUAUCCUUGCCACUGAGAAGGAAGGGACGUCAACACUUUUGAGCCAAGCCCUGUGUCCCCUGCAUCCUGCAAGGAAGAAGAAAAAUAAAGACCUGACUAUUUUUCACAGGUGCAACGGGUGACUAAAGACAGAAAGAGAGUGGUGUGGUUUUCACUUCAUCUUGUUGAGAAGCCAGGGCCUGAAGUCCAGAGAUCCCCAUUCACAUGCACCCUCUUGGGUGGGAAGGGGAGGAACUCUUACCUCCCUCUCUGCCAUGUUCUCCUCUCGUUGCCCAUUUGUGUACUAUCCUCCCUGUCCCCUACCUGACUGCAUGUGCCUUCAAUGCAAAGGUCUUACUGCUCAUCAGCUUUACAUCUGCAUCACAGUCACAAUUCCUGCACCUUACAGGCCUGGAUCAAAUUCUUGUGAAUGAGCAAAAGCAUCUCUAAAGGUCACCAGUGCCCUGCUUGUCUCAAUCCUAGCCGGACACUAGGCUAUAAUGCUCAUUAUAAAUGUGAAAAUAAGGAAGGAGACCACCUCUCCCAUUGUCUCCUGUUUCAAAAAGGAAGCAGAAAGUUAAAAAGAAGCAGAAGUGAGGUCAACAGCCAGACAGCUUGGCACCAAAAACCAGGCCUGGUAGUUAAACAUCAACUCCUAACCUAACUGCUUGUGUUAUCUGUAGAUGCCAGACAUCGUAUGAGGAAGCGCUGUGAAACUUUCUGUUCUGUUCUGCUAGCCCCCAUUACUGAUGCACGUAGCCCUCAAUCCCAUAGCCCCCGCUUGCACAAUGUAUCACGACCCUUUCACGUGGACCCCUUAGAGUUGUAAGCCCUUAAAAGGGACAGGAAUCUUCACUUUGGGGAGCUCAGACCUUGAGAUGCGAGUCUACUGAUGCUCCCAGCUGAUUAAAGCCUCUUCCUUCCUUAAACU
rnacentral:lncRNA from 1 species